UACGUAUUUAUUGGUGCGCGGUCCGAUUUGUGCAAUAAUUUGUUUCGGUGAAUAAAAUUUCAAUCCGUUGCGAAGGUUCUUGAAGGAUGAAUUCCUCAAGGACAAGAAUCCACAAUCCUUGUUAUCACCGGAUGUCCUCACAAGGGAUUGUUGGAAAUCAUAGAUAAUAGGCUGGGAUAUGGAGCAAAAGGUUCGGCUUAUUUAGUCGUAGCUGGAUUCAACAAGCGCAAGAAGCGCUACUACGCUGAGCUGGGACCGGAAGUUUACGGAGACGUCUUGUUCUUGCAGGAAGGAGAGGAGCCAAAUGAUAUGCGCGAGCAACUGGAGAGCGCGAGCAAACUGGGCGUAGAAAAAGAUGGGGGCAGUCUUCAAAGCAGCUUGCUGUCAAGUUCUUGUGUGCAAUUUUGAAACAUCAGAAUCUUGCACGCAAAUAUUGCUCGCGCAAAUUGCCCGAGCAAGCAGAUUUCAAAACAGAAUUGGAUACAAAUAUUAUUAAAAUUUGGUAAAAAUUAUUGAACAAAAAUGAAAUAAAUCUUCUAACCAUUA